rnacentral:rRNA from 1 species
CGCCCAAUAGCUAGCCCACCCCAACAAAACCAACAUCACCCUAUUAAUACCCCCUAAUAUACUACAACCUGGAAAACAAACCAUUUUACCU